rnacentral:rRNA from 1 species
GGGGCUUAGUGGUGGGGUGACUGCGUACCUUUUGUAUAAUGGGUCAGCGACUUAUAUUCUGUAGCAAGGUUAACCGAAUAGGGGAGCCGGAGGGAAACCGAGUCUUAACCGGGCGUUAAGUUGCAGGGUAUAGACCCGAAACCCGGUGAUCUAGCCAUGGGCAGGUUGAAGGUUGGGUAACACUAACUGGAGGACCGAACCGACUAAUGUUGAAAAAUUAGCGGAUGACCUGUGGCUGGGGGUGAAAGGCCAAUCAAACCGGGAGAUAGCUGGUUCUCCCCGAAAGCUAUUUAGGUAGCGCCUCGUGAAUUCAUCUCCGGGGGUAGAGCACUGUUUCGGCUAGGGGGCCAUCCCGGCUUACCAACCCGAUGCAAACUGCGAAUACCGGAGAAUGUUAUCACGGGAGACACACGGCGGGUGCUAACGUCCGUCGUGAAGAGGGAAACAACCCAGACCGCCAGCUAAGGUCCCAAAGUCAUGGUUAAGUGGGAAACGAUGUGGGAAGGCCCAGACAGCCAGGAUGUUGGCUUAGAAGCAGCCAUCAUUUAAAGAAAGCGUAAUAGCUCACUGGUCGAGUCGGCCUGCGCGGAAGAUGUAACGGGGCUAAACCAUGCACCGAAGCUGCGGCAGCGACGCUGAUGCGUUGUUGGGUAGGGGAGCGUUCUGUAAGCCUGCGAAGGUGGCCUGUGAGGGUUGCUGGAGGUAUCAGAAGUGCGAAUGCUGACAUAAGUAACGAUAAAGCGGGUGAAAAGCCCGCUCGCCGGAAGACCAAGGGUUCCUGUCCAACGUUAAUCGGGGCAGGGUGAGUCGACCCCUAAGGCGAGGCCGAAAGGCGUAGUCGAUGGGAAACGGGUUAAUAUUCCCGUACUUGGUGUUACUGCGAAGGGGGGACGGAGAAGGCUAUGUUGGCCGGGCGACGGUUGUCCCGGUUUAAGCGUGUAGGUGUGUGUUCCAGGUAAAUCCGGUUCACUUUAACACUGAGGCGUGAUGACGAGGCACUACGGUGCUGAAGCAACAAAUGCCCUGCUUCCAGGAAAAGCCUCUAAGCAUCAGGUAACAUCAAAUCGUACCCCAAACCGACACAGGUGGUCAGGUAGAGAAUACCAAGGCGCUUGAGAGAACUCGGGUGAAGGAACUAGGCAAAAUGGUGCCGUAACUUCGGGAGAAGGCACGCUGACACGUAGGUGAAGUGAUUUACUCAUGGAGCUGAAGUCAGUCGAAGAUACCAGCUGGCUGCAACUGUUUAUUAAAAACACAGCACUGUGCAAACACGAAAGUGGACGUAUACGGUGUGACGCCUGCCCGGUGCCGGAAGGUUAAUUGAUGGGGUCAGCGCAAGCGAAGCUCCUGAUCGAAGCCCCGGUAAACGGCGGCCGUAACUAUAACGGUCCUAAGGUAGCGAAAUUCCUUGUCGGGUAAGUUCCGACCUGCACGAAUGGCGUAAUGAUGGCCAGGCUGUCUCCACCCGAGACUCAGUGAAAUUGAACUCGCUGUGAAGAUGCAGUGUACCCGCGGCAAGACGGAAAGACCCCGUGAACCUUUACUAUAGCUUGACACUGAACAUUGAGCCUUGAUGUGUAGGAUAGGUGGGAGGCUUUGAAGUGUGGACGCCAGUCUGCAUGGAGCCGGCCUUGAAAUACCACCCUUUAAUGUUUGAUGUUCUAACGUGGACCCGUGAUCCGGGUUGCGGACAGUGUCUGGUGGGUAGUUUGACUGGGGCGGUCUCCUCCUAAAGAGUAACGGAGGAGCACGAAGGUUGGCUAAUCCUGGUCGGACAUCAGGAGGUUAGUGCAAUGGCAUAAGCCAGCUUGACUGCGAGCGUGACGGCGCGAGCAGGUGCGAAAGCAGGUCAUAGUGAUCCGGUGGUUCUGAAUGGAAGGGCCAUCGCUCAACGGAUAAAAGGUACUCCGGGGAUAACAGGCUGAUACCGCCCAAGAGUUCAUAUCGACGGCGGUGUUUGGCACCUCGAUGUCGGCUCAUCACAUCCUGGGGCUGAAGUAGGUCCCAAGGGUAUGGCUGUUCGCCAUUUAAAGUGGUACGCGAGCUGGGUUUAGAACGUCGUGAGACAGUUCGGUCCCUAUCUGCCGUGGGCGCUGGAGAACUGAGGGGGGCUGCUCCUAGUACGAGAGGACCGGAGUGGACGCAUCACUGGUGUUCGGGUUGUCAUGCCAAUGGCACUGCCCGGUAGCUAAAUGCGGAAGAGAUAAGUGCUGAAAGCAUCUAAGCACGAAACUUGCCCCGAGAUGAGUUCUCCCUGAGACUUAGAGUCUCCUGAAGGAACGUUGAAGACGACGACGUUGAUAGGCCGGGUGUGUAAGCGCAGCGAUGCGUUGAGCUAACCGGUACUAAUGAACCGUGAGGCUUAACCUU